UCAUUUAUCAAGGUUACUCUUUUAAGUGUAUAAAUGUAUAUUUUCAUCCUUAUCUAUAAGGAUUACUAUUUUAAAUCUCCAUACAGAACUAAAUAACAUUUACUUAUUCACAACUUUAAAUUAUUUUAUUACAAAUACAUACUUCUUUAUUCACAGCUUUGUAACUUAUUUUUCCUUUAUAAUCAUUCAUCAUUGAAUCAAAGAUAAUCUUUUAUCUUGUAACAUUUUUUUUUAGCAGAGGCCCAGUAGACGAAACAAAACACUUAGGAAAUAUGGAACUGAUAUAACAUCUGAUGGCACCGUCCCUUCUGCGGGAAUAGGUGCAUUACUCUCUACUUCAUCUGUACUAGCUCGUUCAGGAUCCAUAACUAUAAAAGAAAACAUUUUAAAAUCGUCAGGAGUCGUCACACUAUCAAAUAUAUAAGUAUGGCAUGUAUAGGUAGACUCUUAUUAUUACUGAGUAUUUCCGAGAACCGACUAAACCUGCUCUGAUACCAAUAAAAUGUAACACCCCUUACCCGAGACCGUUUCCGGAGUCGAGCACGAGGCAUUACUUAGCUUAUCUUACCAAUUCGGAGCAUAAAAACUAGGUUUGAAAAUUUAUUUCAUUAUUCGCAGCAAAUCUGUCUAAUCGCGCAGCAGUUACUAAAUUAAUUAUAACUUGAGCUACAGAACUCGAAAUUUAAUCCCGUAAAAUUUCCCUGAAACUAGACUCAUAUAUCUACUCACCAUAAAAUUUUUAUAAUUUUUGGUUCAGCAAAUUAGUACAGUUUAUUAGUUAAAGUCUCCCCUGUGUCACCACCAGACUGCCCUGACCUCUAGUCACUAAAAAUAAGUUUUCUCACUAUAGGAUUUUCAUAUGAAGUUCUUACUUGUUUCUAUAGAAAAUAGACUCAUUAAGGAAUCUAAGCAUGUAAAUUUCAACUCAUAACCAUUUUUUUACAAUUUGUAAUUAUUUUCUAAACUCAGAACAGGGGACUCCAAAAACAGUUCUGACCCUAUCUUACAAAAAUUCACAUAUCUUAAAAUAUAAAUUUCUUUUUUCUACACCGUUAUUUUUCCAUGAAAAUAGACUCAACAAGCUUUAAUUCCAUAUAUCAUUCACCCUCUAAUUCAUUUUAUACUAUCUUGGGUGAUUUUUCAAAUUCACGUCACUGUGCUGCCUGAAUUCUGUUUCUUUGCAAAAUUUUAUCCUUUCAUGAUUUCCAUGCAUAAUUUAUCACCUAAUCUUUCAUAACAACAAACACCUUCAUCCUUAAUCAUUUUAAUAACCAUAGAUCAUCAAAUACUUACACAUCACUCAUUAGCAAAAUCAUCACUACAAACAUACAAAAUAACUAAAUCCCUAUACAUGCCAUAACUUAAACGUGUUUCGAUAUAAAAUACCGAGCAGUUGUAGUUGAUAGUGUGGACGAUCUCCGACUUCUUUAGGAUCCUUGAAGUAGCUUUGCAAUACUAUAAGAGAAAGAGAAAUAAAAGAAGUAAGCAUAAAGCUUAGUAAGUUUACUAGCAAAUAAAUAACAAUAUUUAACUUAAAUAAUUAAACUCAAUGUCUAUAUCUCUAGUUUACUCUUUAGUUAAUCUCAUACUAGUUCUCUUACUUGUUUACUUAGAAUAUUUGUGUGCAUAACUUACUCAAUCCUUGCUGCAUCGUUGAACAUCAAUUGAUAGUAUAAUAAGUUCUUAAGUCUUACAACUUACCUGAGCUUACCAUUUAUGCUUUAAACUGAACUUUCAUGAACAUGAUUCGUUUACAAGCCCGUUGAACUACAUUGGAAUAAUAAGGAUACUCGGGUCUCUUCUGAUAAUAACAUGCCAAAGCCAUGUCCCAGACAUGGUCUUACAUGGGAUGUUCUCGUGAUGGUGCCCAUGCCAUGUCCCAGACAUGGUCUUAUAGGGGACCUCUCAUCUCGGUGCCAACGCCAUGUCCCAGACAUGGUCUUACAUGGGACCUCUCGUCUCGGUGCCCAUGCCAUGUCCCAAACAUGGUCUUACAGGGGACCUCUCAUGAUCUUAAGGAUGCCAAUGCCAUGUCCCAGACAUGGUCUUACAUGGGAUCUCUUUACCCAAAUGUCAUGACAUUCGUAUCUAGUAUCAUCCUUAUGUAUCAACGGGACUUUUAAAUUUUAAUUCUCUAUCAUUUCAUGCUUGGAUCAUCAUCAAAUAAAUUCAUAAAAUAAAUUCAUAAUUACUGGAAAUUAACAGCAUUAAUAAUAAAUAUUGAAAUAUUGCAUUUAUUUACCGUAAACUUACCUCGGUACCAAUUAUAGCCAAAUUCACCAACUUAGUCUUCAACUUUAUUCUUCCCUUUGUCUAACCUCGAGUUUCGUACUUCUUGAUCUAAAAUAGUAAAUUUAACUUAUUUAAUAAUCACAUUCAUCAAAAUAGCCCUCGACUCUAACUUUUUCAAAAUUACAAUUUUGCCCCUAAACUUUUACAUAAUUACAUUUUUGCCCCAAGGCUCGGAAAUUAAACUUCAUCUCUUAUUCUUAUGUUUUAUAACAUUCUGAACAUUUUUCCCUUCUAUGACAACAUCAAAUUCUAAUUUAAUCCCUUAUCAAUAAUAAUUUUAUUUUUGCAUUCUAACUCUAUAUUCUCUCUUAAUUCUUACUAUAAACUCAGUUUAAUUCUUCAAUUUCCCCAUAAAUCCCUAACUUCGGGAUUCUUUCAAUUUAAUUCCUAUAAAUUCAAAACUUAUGUUUUAUUUUACAAAUCAACCUUUUACUAACUUUUAACUUAAAAUUCAAUCAUUUUAACAUCUAAUUCAUCAAUUAAUUCAACAUGAACAACAUCUAAUAACCUACUAACUUCCAAAAUUUCCACUUAAAUCAAGUAGUAUUUUGCUCUAGGAUUCCAAAAAUAUCAAAACCAUAAGAAAAAGGGACUAAAUUGACUUACCAAUUGAAUUUAGAAGUUUUGAAACCCCUGAACCGUCGCUCUUUCUUUUUCUUCUUUCUCCAUUCUCUGUUUCGUUUUGCUCUCUGUUUCUUUCUUUCUCAUUUCUAUUCUUUCUUUUGUUAUAUAUAUAUAUAUAUAAUAUAAUAUAAUAUAAAAUAUUAAUAAUAAUCAUUACUUACAUAUAUAUAAUAUAUAUAUAUAUUAACUAGAAUAUCUCAGAUAUUUCUUUCAUUAUG
rnacentral:lncRNA from 1 species